GGACGAACGCUGGCGGCGUGCUUAACACAUGCAAGUCGAACGGAAAGGCCCUGCUUUUGUGGGGUGCUCGAGUGGCGAACGGGUGAGUAACACGUGAGUAACCUGCCCUUGACUUUGGGAUAACUUCAGGAAACUGGGGCUAAUACCGGAUAGGAGCUCCUGCUGCAUGGUGGGGGUUGGAAAGUUUCGGCGGUUGGGGAUGGACUCGCGGCUUAUCAGCUUGUUGGUGGGGUAGUGGCUUACCAAGGCUUUGACGGGGAGCCGGCCUGAGAGGGUGACCGGCCACAUUGGGACUGAGAUACGGCCCAGACUCCUACGGGAGGCAGCAGUGGGGAAUAUUGCACAAUGGGCGGAAGCCUGAUGCAGCAACGCCGCGUGCGGGAUGACGGCCUUCGGGUUGUAAACCGCUUUCGCCUGUGACGAAGCGUGAGUGACGGUAAUGGGUAAAGAAGCACCGGCUAACUACGUG
rnacentral:rRNA from 1 species